CGGAUAUGGGGAGGUGUGUGUGUGUGUGAGUCUUGACUGUGUUGAACGGAUCCAAAGUAUCAGCGCAGAAAUAGCCACAACAGCAGGUCGCUUCUUCCCUGUGAGAGCCGGGGGGUUCACGAACCUGGAGCUGGGAGUAGAGAUUGCGCCGCAACUCUUCAGCCUAAUUGUAUUUCUUGUCUUUUCUUUGGCGGCGGCGGUUCCGAAAUAGGACCAGGUGACAUAUAGGACACGGAGGGGAAAGUCUCCCAGAGUAUUAGGACAGCUUUCAGUUUCCCCGCUCACUUGAACAUGGCUUCAACCACCUGCACCAGGUUCACUGAUGAGUACCAACUGUACGAGGAGCUGGGAAAGGGAGCUUUCUCUGUUGUCAAGAGGUGCAUGAAGAUUUCCACGGGACAUGAGUAUGCUGCCAAAAUCAUCAACACCAAGAAGCUGUCUGCCCGGGCACUACAUGACCGAAGUCAAUAACCCAUCUGGAUCAUUUGUCAUGCAAAACAACAUCCCUGAAAUCAUUGGCAGUUUAAGUGAAACGCUGUCCAGAUGUUGUGGCUGUGGAUCUUGUGUUCGGUGGCAAGACAGGCUGGCAGGAAGGGAAAACUAGGCCAGUGAUUAACAGACAGUGAUUCUUGGACUCAGUGGAGUGGAAAUGAUCACUUCACAAACCCACACUGAUGUGGAAAAGCUUGCUCAGGCUUUAGGGGCAGCCAUUCUGUCGUUUCAACUUCUGGAAAAUACCCGGGGCUCCAGCUGUACACGGUGCAAUGCUCAUUACCAUGGAAACAAAUAAAAAAUGGAGAGCCAAAUAUAGUCUGUGGUGAAAGAAUGAA